GACGAGAAGACCCUAUUGAGUUUUAAUUUUCAUACUAGUAACGUUUUAUAUUUGUAUAUAAAUUAUACUAAUAUAAAUUUUAGUUGGGGCAACUGAGGAGUAAAAAAUAAUCUCCUUAUUAUACACCAAAAUGAUAAUUAGAUGAUCCUUUUGUAAAGAUUAAUAAAUAUAAUUACCACAGGGAUAACAGCGUAAC
rnacentral:rRNA from 1 species